rnacentral:rRNA from 1 species
GCGUAAGCGCACGCAGGCGGUCUGUCAAGUCGGAUGUGAAAUCCCCGGGCUCAACCUGGGAACUGCAUUCGAAACUGGCAGGCUAGAGUCUUGUAGAGGGGGGUAGAAUUCCAGGUGUAGCGGUGAAAUGCGUAGAGAUCUGGAGGAAUACCGGUGGCGAAGGCGGCCCCCUGGACAAAGACUGACGCUCAGGUGCGAAAGCGUGGGGAGCAAACAGGAUUAGAUACCCUGGUAGUCCACGCCGUAAACGAUGUCGACUUGGAGGUUGUGCCCUUGAGGCGUGGCUUCCGGAGCUAACGCGUUAAGUCGACCGCCUGGGGAGUACGGCCGCAAGGUUAAAACUCAAAUGAAUUGACGGGGGCCCGCACAAGCGGUGGAGCAUGUGGUUUAAUUCGAUGCAACGCGAAGAACCUUACCUACUCUUGACAUCCAGAGAACUUAGCAGAGAUGCUUUGGUGCCUUCGGGAACUCUGAGACAGGUGCUGCAUGGCUGUCGUCAGCUCGUGUUGUGAAAUGUUGGGUUAAGUCCCGC